CGUAUGGAGCAAGCGUUAUCCGGAUUUUACUGGGUGUAAAGGGAGUGUAGGUGGCCAUGCAAGUCAGAAGUGAAAAUCCGGGGCUCAACCCCGGAACUGCUUUUGAAACUGUAAGGCUAGAGUGCAGGAGGGGUGAGUGGAAUUCCUAGUGUAGCGGUGAAAUGCGUAGAUAUUAGGAGGAACACCAGUGGCGAAGGCGGCUCACUGGACUGUAACUGACACUGAGGCUCGAAAGCGUGGGGAGCAAACAGGAUU
rnacentral:rRNA from 1 species